UCCUGGCUUAGGACUAACGCUGGCGGCGUGCCUAACACAUGCAAGUCGAACGGGCCCUUCGGGGCUAGUGGCAGAAGGGUGAGUAACACGUAGGCAAUGUGUCUUCUCGCUGGGGAUACCCGCCCGAAAGGGCGGCUAAUACCGAAUGAUUCCGCUUCGAGGCAUCUUGAGGCGUAUAAACCGUAAGGGUGAGAGGAGCAGCUUGCGCAUCAUCAGCUAGUUGGUGGGUAACGGCCUACCAAGGCAGCGACGAUUAGCCGGUCUGAGAGGAUGAACGGCCACACUGGAACUGAGACACGGUCCAGACUCCUACGGGAGGCAGCAGUGAGGAAUAUUGCGCAAUGGGCGGAAGCCUGACGCAGCGAACCGCCGCGUGUGGGAUGAAGGUCUUCGGAUUGUAAACCAUUGUCAGCAGGGAAGAGAACGGACGGUACCUGCUGAGGAAGCAUCGGCUUACUACGUGCCAGCAGCGGC
rnacentral:rRNA from 1 species